rnacentral:rRNA from 1 species
CAGCAGCUCGAGUGGUGAUCGUUAUUAUUGGGCCUAAAGCGUCCGUAGCCGGUCUAGUAAAUCCUUGGAUAAAUCGUACAGCUUAACUGUACGGCUACUGAGGAGACUGCUAGACUUGGGACUGGGAGAGGUCGGAGGUACUCCAGGGGUAGGGGUGAAAUCCUGUAAUCCUUGGGGGACCACCAGUGGCGAAGGCGUCCGACUUGAACGGGUCCGACGGUAAGGGACGAAGCCCUGGGGCGCGAACCGGAUUAGAGACCCGAGUAGUCC